CGUAGGUGGCAAGCGUUGUCCGGAAUUAUUGGGCGUAAAGGGCGCGUAGGCGGUCCCUUAAGUCAGAUGUGAAAUCCCGAGGCUUAGCCUCGGGCGUGCAUUUGAAACUGGGGGACUAGAGUGCAGGAGAGGUAAGUGGAAUUCCUAGUGUAGCGGUGAAAUGCGUAGAUAUUAGGAGGAACACCAGUGGCGAAGGCGACUUACUGGACUGUAACUGACGCUGAGGCGCGAAAGCGUGGGGAGCAAACAGGAUUAGAUACCCUGGUAGUCCACGCUGUAAACGAUGGAUACUAGGUGUGGGAGGUAUCGACCCCUUCCGUGCCGCAGUAAACGCAAUAAGUAUCCCGCCUGGGGAGUACGGCCGCAAGGUUG
rnacentral:rRNA from 1 species